ensembl:snRNA U6 U6 spliceosomal RNA
GUGCUCACUUUGUCAGCACAUAUACUGAAAUUGGAAUGAUACAGAGAAGAUUAGCAUGGCCCCUGUGCAAGGAUGACACUUUGCACAAUCCUUCCCACACUUGC